rnacentral:miRNA from 11 species
ACUGAAUUCUUUUGAUGCCUAGA